GACGAACGCUGGCGGCGUGCUUAACACAUGCAAGUCGAACGGUGAAGCGCUUGCCUUUUUGGUGGGUGUGGAUGAGUGGCGAACGGGUGAGUAACACGUGAGUAACCUGCCCUCUUCUUCUGGAUAACCUCAUGAAAGUGGGGCUAAUACGGGGUAUUCCGGGUCUGUCGCAUGGCGGGUUUGGGAAAGAUUGCGCCUUUGGGUGUUUUCGGUGGGGGAUGGGCUCGCGGCGUAUCAGCUUGCUGGUGGGGUGAUGGCCUACCAAGGCGGUGACGGGUAGCCGGGCUGAGGGGGUGGACGGCCACGCGGGGACUGAGACACGGCCCAGGCGCCGGCGGGAGGCGGCAGUGGGGGAUGUUGGACAGUGGGAGCAAGCCUGAUGCAGCGAAGCCGCGUGAGGGAUGGGGGCCGUCGGGUUGUGAACCUCUUUCGCCAGUGAAGGAGGCCUGCUCCUGUGUGGGUGGGUUGACGGUAGCUGGAUAAGAAGCGCCGGCUAACUACGUG
rnacentral:rRNA from 1 species